ACGGCCAUAUCACGUUGAAACACCAUUUCCCGUACGAUUACCGAAGUUAAGCAACGUCGAGCGUGAUCAGUACCUAGAUGGGUGACCGCUUGGGAAUACCAGGUGUCAUA
rnacentral:rRNA from 1 species